GCUCGUGGUGCAGGGCCAGUGGGACGACGCCAUGAGCUACGCCUCCCGCUUCCUGGGGCCGGGUCCUCCUCUGCUUCCUCAGGCAUUUCAGGGCCUUCGACGGCAUGGUCACCGGCGAACACAAUCGGGAUGUCAAGUGUCUCUACCGAGACUACAGGCAGUACCUCAAGCAUGAUGACUCCGUGUCCCACGACGCCCUCAGGAUCCGGUCCAUCACCAUCUCCCUGCUCUACUCGGACCAAAUCAGGGCCUCCCUGGACUGGGAUCGUGUGCAACUGAAGGCAUCGGACAUUGUUAGAGACUUGGCUUACAAGUCGUUUCCGCCAGAGGCGCCAUGUGAAGCAAGAUUUCAAAGCAAGGCCUAAAACUCUUGCCAAGUUUUAUCUUAGGAGGAAGAGGAUGUCUUGUUCGACCCAGCAUCGCAAGUUAAACUGUGGAUUGACUGCUAAGACAAGGAAGUGGCUGGCAGAUAUUAUUGAUGAAAGUUUACAAGCUGGUAACUGUCCUGAACUUCAGUCAAGUGGGAAGGAAGAUGAAAGUUUACAAAGGUAACUGUCCUGAACUUCAGUCAAAUGGGAAGGAAGGUGUUUGUCGUGCUCCAGUCUCCCGCACUAUGCCAGGUUGUCCUACAAAUCUCAAUGAAACCUAUGUGAUCUCAUCAUUGUCAAAUGCAGGUACAAAUAAGCAUGCAAGUCCAGAAGGUUCCAAUCUCAGAAAGAAUCCAAGGAUGGAACUGACUACUUCUGACCAAGAUCCUCGUAGAAAAAUGCAACGAACAACCUGGGGCUUUUGGUGAAACAAGUCUGGUAUCGAUGACUGAAGUUGGGACCGGAGCUCACCCGUCCGCAGAUGCCGUCUUGGAUGGUAUUCACAGCGCCUAGCUGAGUGCAGGUAUCGAUGACUGAAGUUGGGACUGGAGCUCACCCGUCCGCAGAUGCCGUUAUGGGUGGAAAAGAGGCGUUAUGAACUACCGUUGCUUUUAGAACAUUAGGUUGUUUUAUAUUGUUGCUAUUGCUGCUGCUUAAGUUAUUUCUGUCGCUAGCAACAUGAAGCUUGUAAGUUUGAUGGAGCUGCUACUAGCCUACUAGUAUUAUGUUACUCCUAUCUUGCAACUUUGUUUUGAGUACUACCUAAU